GACGAACGCUGGCGGCGUGCCUAAUACAUGCAAGUCGAGCGGAUCUUCAUUAGCUUGCUUUUGAAGAUCAGCGGCGGACGGGUGAGUAACACGUGGGCAACCUGCCUGUAACACUGGGAUAACUUCGGGAAACCGGAGCUAAUACCGGAUAAUCCUUUUCCUCUCCUGAGGAAAACCUGAAAGACGGUUUCGGCUGUCACUUACAUAUGGGCCCGCGGCGCAUUAGCUAGUUGGUGAGGUAACGGCCCACCAAGGCGACGAUGCGUAGCUGACCUGAGAGGGUGAUCGGCCACACUGGGACUGAGACACGGCCCAGACUCCUACGGGAGACAGCAGUAGGGAAUCUUCCGCAAUGGACGAAAGUCUGACGGAGCAACGCCGCGUGAGCGAUGAAGGCCUUCGGGUCGUAAAGCUCUGUUGUCAGGGAAGAACAAGUACCGGAGUAACUGCCGGUACCUUGACGGUACCUGACCAAAAAGCCACGGCUAACUACGUGCCAGCCGCCGCAGUAACAC
rnacentral:rRNA from 1 species